rnacentral:rRNA from 1 species
UACGUAGGGGGCUAGCGUUGUCCGGAUUUAUUGGGCGUAAAGAGCUCGUAGGCGGCUCGUCGCGUCGACCGUGAAAACCCGCGGCUUAACUGCGGGCUUGCGGUUGAUACGGGCGGGCUAGAGUUCGGUAGGGGAGACUGGAAUUCCUGGUGUAGCGGUGAAAUGCGCAGAUAUCAGGAGGAACACCGGUGGCGAAGGCGGGUCUCUGGGCCGAUACUGACGCUGAGGCGCGAAAGCCAGGGGAGCGAAUGGG